rnacentral:lncRNA from 1 species
CGGCGGCCCAGUGUGCCUCCAGCCCGUGUGAAGUGAGGACGCUCCUCACCCGCAAAAUCCGCACUCGCCGCGUCCACACCCACAAGCUAUGCCUACCCGCAGUCACGCCUGAGCCCCAGUCCUCGCUGUGGACACUGUAAGACAGUUCGCCUGUGAGGGGACGUUACAGGAAGUGUGAUAAAGGUGGAGAAAGUCACCCCUCAUCCAGCGUGUGAAAAAAAAGAAAAGAAAAAAUCAAAUAGCCAACUGGGAAAACGUGUGAUGGUGAGGAGGUGGCUGAGGCGUGGAGUGUACCCGAGAGUUAGUUACCGUGGUGUUCAGGUAGGAAGCCGUCGCCGUCGUUGUAUGGAAGCGGCGUAUAGUGUGUCGUGGCCGUCGUGGAUUCUCGGGAGGUAGUCCUGGGUAGCGUGGAUGGUGAGGCGGUGUUGCUGCUGGAGGAAGGGCGCUCACGGCAGGUUCUCGGUGUUGUUGUUCUUCAGCGUCGCCUACAGCAGUGGUGAUGCUUUCCUUGGGCUUAAUGACUCCCCAGAGUGUCUUGCCCACCACCACCACUACCAUCACCACCUCCAUUACCUCCACCACCAACCCUACCACUACACCUCCCAUUACCAUCAUCACCACCGCCGCCGUCACCACUGCUUCUCCUUCUAUCCUCACCUCUUACACUGCCGCCUUGUCCCUCACCUCUCCUCCCUCACCGUGUGUUGUCCGCAGCCUCGCUACCAACACCCCUCAUACCAGCUGCCGCCCAGCCCUCACGCCCGCCACCACACGCGCCCACACCUGCAGGGGGUCAGCGGCACCACUACGGCAGGUCACAUUACCCAUCGCGUUAGUCGUGCAGGGCCAAAAGUCUUGAGAGCUGGUCGUCGAGUGUUCAAGCUUACUUAGAUAAACUUUCACCAAGAUCGUUUUGGCGUUUAAAAUAAUAAUAAUAAUAAUAAAAAACAUUGCCUAUUAGCUGCUAAGGUGUGUGUAAAUAUAUUACUUGCUAACUCAGUAUAAUUAUCGCUGCUAACUUUUAUCUACUAGAGACGAGGUAAAUAUCUAGUUUUCUACUGCAGAUGUUUCGUACAUGUAUUCGAAUGUGAUGACCAAGUGCCCCUCUCAGAAGUGCCUCUCUAUAACUGUUGUGUAGUAACCUGACCUGGUAGUGAGUGAGUACAGUAGGAAGCUCCCUGCCGACAACCUUCACUCAAGGACUUAAGACACGCGUUCAUUAUGAUCUCUGAAGAACUCGUGUUGAAGGAGGAGACCUGAAGGAAUAGAUGGAUGACGUUCCAGGAUACUGUGCUUUAAGAGAACUCACCAAGACGAUCUUAUAUACGUGAUCACACAAACACACGGACACAAACACACAAACACAAGCACACAAACAUACCAACCGACUAAACACCUCGUGAGUUGUGUUCGUCCUUCAGUUGCUGUGUUAAUCUCCGGUUCAGUGUUGCAUCACCAAGACAACAAAAUCCCUCCACACAACCACCUCGUGUCCACACCCAAACAGUGAGUAACAUAAGCAAUGACGACAAGGUGAUUUUUUUUUUUACUACGUUAGAAAAAAAAUCCUCUCUUGAAGGCCAUCAGCCAUCUUAGGUGUCGCAGACUUCGUAUAGUAACCUGUCUGUGAUUAAAGAAAAGGUGACACCGAUAAAUGAACACUUAACAACACCACCAUACUAGCUAGAUUAUCCAAAGUGUAGCGGCUGAGGUAGAGUGUUCCUUAACCCACUAGAAGGUGACGACGAAGGCAACUCCUAACCCAAAGUUUAAACAGUUUAAUUCAAGGUGUUUAUAUGGACUAGGGUAUAACGACCUAGAUAAAGUAAACGUGAAGGAACACCGAAGAGAAGAAGAAUAAGAAAAGUUGGCAUAAAUAAAAAAGAAAAGAAAAGAUAAAAUAAGGAGAUAAAAGUGACGUAGGAAUUAUCAGAGAAGAGAGAGAGAGAUAGAGAGCUAGCAAGUUAUUAACGAAGUGGGAAAUGGAAUAUAGAGAAUAAAACAAAGGGCUGACGAACAACAGGUAGAUAAUUUAAUAAAAAGUAGUAGGCAUAGUAAGUGAGGAGGAAAGUGAUUAA